AUCUGUAAGAAUUAUAGUUCUUAAUUGUAAAUUUAUUUAUUAUAAUCACAUAAUUUUCAUAGUUUGAUUUUUUCGAUAGUAUUUACUAUUAAAAACAUUGUUUGACUCUUUCAAUUUAACAUAGCUUCACUAUUUCCGCCAAACGUAACGUCUUAUUUUGUUUCCCGUAAAAAGACGUCAUUAAAUUGUUUUACGGUGACGUCAUUAACCGUUACUUUGAUAUGUUGUUUUGCCUUGGGCGGAAGUGCUUAAAUUGUUGAUGUGUUUUGUUUAUUGAUGUUUUCCAAUGGAAAGUAGAUCAUAAUCGAGAAUCGCAUUGUUGUAUCACAUUGAUAUAUUAUUCCAUGAAUGAGAAUAAAGAAAAGUGUUGAAAUCUGCGCAUUCUUGACUAUUUUUAACGGAAAACAUCUACAAUUCUCGAUUUACAAUUCUCGAUUUGCUGUGACGAAAAUGCCGUCAACAAAUAGUGCGGAAACUUGUAAUCAGGAGUUUGUCAGUUUGAAGAGAUCAAGAAGUGCAAAUGGCGCUCAACUGACGAAACUAUACAAUGAACUUGAAAAGAGCAUGAUGUCCUACAAUAAUAUAGAAGAGGUAAAACUACUGAACAAUAAAUUAUGUGAACGCUUUGAACAUUUCAAAUCAGUGCAUUUACAAUGUUUAGAUUUGUGCGCGCAACCGGAAGUUGUUGCAGACUUGGAAGCGAACUUUGAGAGCUGUUUAAAGAACUUUGAAGAAUUCAGGGAAAGAUUUUCUCAGUGGAUCGCGGGAGCUAUUGGACCGCAUGAUGGAGAAAAUAUUCCUGUAGAAAAUGACGCAGAGUCAAAUGUCAGCCAUGGAAGUUCACGUACUUCAGUCUCGUCGCGCCGGAAAUUACAAAGUGCUAAAGCAAAGCGUUUAAUUGCAGAACACAAAUUAAAACAACUUAAAAAGAAACAAGAACUUGAACGAGCUCGCCAGGAUCUUGAAAUGAAACAACAGUUGUUAGAUCAGCAGUCGGAAUUAGAAGAAGCAGAGAUAGAAGAAAUGGCGUGGUUAGAAACAACACAGGAAGAAACCGGGGUCAUAUCUAACAAUCAAAAUGCUCAGCCUGACGUAAAAAAUAAUAUGACUAAUCAUAUUCAGGUGAACAACCGUACAGAUUCUGUGAGAAAUAUAACUUUGACACAGCCCAGACCGGAAAUGAACAGACCGUGUAUACCGGAAGUUGACAGUGAGACAUCGAGCAUUGACAGAUCAUUUCAAAGAUUGGCGUCAGCACUCCAUGAAGGAUUCAACUUACCGAAGCCAGAACUAUUGACAUUUGAUGGGAAGCCUGAAGGAUACUGCAAAUUUAUCAAAAACUUUGAAACAAACAUUGAAAGCAGAAUAAGUGACAAUAAUUUAAAGCUAAGUUAUCUCAUUCAGUAUUGUACAGGUAACUGUGCAGAGUUAUCACUGUGUAACAAGUUCAAGUCAAUGAGUCUCAAUGAUCGUUAUAAACUGGUAAGAUCACUUAAAUUGUGUUACAAUUGUUUAAAAGGUAAACAUUUUACAAACAAGUGUAGAAAACCAAAAAUAUGUAAUGUUACUAAUUGUAAUGUAAAACACCACAUUUUGUUACAUAGUUGGGUAAAACCCGAUAAUGGCCACACAGCAGUGCAGUCGUCGUGUAACUGUGCAGCAACAGAAGGUUCUACUGUAAAAAAUUGUCUGGGUAUUAUUCCUGUAAUAGUUAGGGGUGGGGACGGUAGUUCUUGUCAGACAUAUGCCCUGCUAGAUGAUGGAGCCGAUAAAACCUUAUGUGAUGAAAGAUUGUUACGGAGCCUGAAUAUAACCGGUAAGCCCGUCACAUUCCGGAUGUCUACGGCAAACUCACGUGAAGGUAUUAUACAUGGUCAGGAGGCCGACUUAGAUAUUCAACCUAUCGAUGGAAAUGAAAGUAUUACCCUAAGAAAAGUCUGGUCAGUAAAGUCAUUACCGAUAUCAACUCGAUCUGCAGCUAAAUAUGCAGAUAUCCGAAACUUACCGUACUUAUCCGGUAUAAAUAUUCCAGAUAUAGACACUAAUGACGUUAUGAUGUUAAUAGGGACGGAUUCACCUAUUGCACAUAUACCGCUAGAAGUGAAAUUCGGAAAUAGCGAUGAACCGUACGCGAUACGCACUCGUCUUGGAUGGGCUAUACGCGGUCCAGUUCCAACUACACAAGAAUCCAACGAUAUUAACAUAAAUUUCUUUGAGUCACGUGACAUGUUGUUACAGCAACAAAUUGAGCGUUUGUGGACAACUGACUUUAAUGAUAAAUCACAACAAGUGAAGAGUUGCAUGUCUAUAGAAGAUAAAAGUGCUAUGAAAUCCAUGGAAUCAACUUUAACUCGCGAGGAUGGUCAUUACAAGAUUGGUCUCUCUUGGCGUGAUAUAAAUUCGUCAUUCGUAAAUAAUAUACCGCUUGCCCAAGCCAGAUUACAGCAGUUGAAGCGCAAGUUGUCAAAUGACAAUAAUUUGCAUGAUAUGUACAGAACUACUGUAAAUGGUUACAUUGCGAAUGGCUAUUCAUCGGAUGUAGAUUACAUGGUACCAGAGAAAACGCGUGUUUGGUAUACGCCGCAUCAUCCAGUAACAAAUGUGCAUAACGCUUCUGAAACAGACAAAUUAAAUGUUUGGUUACAUGGACCAACAUUUCUUAGUAAAGGUAGGGAACACUGGCCUAAGUAUUCAGGUAAUUUUAUCCCGGAAGUGAGUGAAGAUGAUGUUGAAGUAAAGAGAUAUGGAUGUAUUUUUUCUUGUUUAACAUCAAGGGCCGUCCAUUUAGAAGUUACUCAUAGUUUGAGUACAGAUUCGUUUAUCGCCGCAUUGCAACGAUUUAUUAGCCGGAGAGGUCUACCGGAAAAGGUAUAUAGUGACAACGGAACCAAUCUAGUAAGUGGAGAUUGUGAAUUACGCAAGUCCUUACGAGAGUGGAAUCAAUCCGAAAUUGGACAAUUCAUGUUGCAGCGGGAAAUCGAAUGGAACUUUAACCCUCCGUCAGCUAGUCACAUGGGCGGUAUAUGGGAACGGAUGAUACGAUCGACACGUGCAAUUUUGAGAUCGUUAGUCAAAGAGCAGCUUCUGACAGAUGAACAACUUCUUACUGUUGUAACUGAGGUUGAAAAAAUACUUAAUGAUAGACCCAUUACCCGAGUAAGCGAUGACCCAAAAGACCCCCCAGUUUUAACUCCAAGCAUGAUUUUAUUACUAAAGUCCAAUACAUGUAUUCCACGUGGCAUUUUUAGAAAAGAAGAUACAUAUGCAAAGAGAAGGUGGAGACAGGCUCAGUAUCUUGCUGAUAUAUUCUGGAAACGAUGGAUUCGGGAAUAUAUACCUACCCUACAAUCUCGACAAAAAUGGCUGAGACCACAAAGAGAUAUCCGUGAGGGCGAUAUUGUACUCGUGGCUCAGGAAAACAUACCAAGGGGGCAGUGGCCGUUGGGCAGGGUUGUAUCUAUAAAUGUGGGUCGGGACGGGCAUACACGAAGCUGUGUGGUCAAAACUAGUAUGUCACAAUUCAUAAGACCAAUAACUAAACUUUGCCUACUAGAAUGUUCUAUUUAAAUCGUAAAGGUAUACAUUACAAUAAGCUAUUGUUUGUAUAAGAUGAAAUCGUAACGUUUCAUGGUGGGGAGUGUAAGAAUUAUAGUUCUUAAUUGUAAAUUUAUUUAUUAUAAUCACAUAAUUUUCAUAGUUUGAUUUUUUCGAUAGUAUUAAAAACAUUGUUUGACUCUUUCAAUUUAAGAUAGCUUCACUAUUUCCGCCAAACCUAACGUCUUAUUUUGUUUCCCGUAAAAAGACGUCAUUAAAUUGUUUUACGGUGACGUCAUUAACCGUUACUUUGAUAUGUUGUUUUGCCUUGGGCGGAAGUGCUUAAAUUGUUGAUGUGUUUUGUUUAUUGAUGUUUUCCAAUGGAAAGUAGAUCAUAAUCGAGAAUCGCAUUGUUGUAUCACAUUGAUAUAUUAUUCCAUGAAUGAGAAUAAAGAAAAGUGUUGAAAUCUGCGCAUUCUUGACUAUUUUUAACGGAAAACAUCUACAAUAUCAUUGAAAGAAUUGGACAGUAUCAUUUAAAGGAUUGGCCAGUAUCAUUUUUAAAGAUUUGACUUUAUCAUUUUAAGGUUCCACACAACCAUUUUUAGGUUAGGACAGUAUCAUUGUAAGGUUCAACUAUAUCAUUUCAAGGUCUAACUAUGUCACUUUUAAGGUUUGACUUUAUCAGUUUUAGGAUUGGACAGUAUCAUUUUAAGGUUUGAAUAUAUAAUUUGAAGGGAGAGUAUCAUUUUAAUGUUCGACUAUAACAUUUUAAGGAUUUGCCAGUGUCAUUUAAAGGUUUGAGUUUAUCAUUUUAAAGAUCGGAAAGUAUCAUUUGAAGGUAAGACUAUAUCAGUAUCUUUUCAGGUUCUACUACAUCAUUUUAAGGGUCAACUAUAUCAUGUUAAUGGUAUGACAGUAUUAUCUUAAGGUUCUAUUAUAUCAAUUUAAGGUUUGACUACCGUAAAAUUCCUAUUAAACGCCCCCCGGGGCGUAACAUUUUCCAAAGUGGGGCGUUUAUUAAAACACAUUUUUUCCUAAAUCCAAAAAAUCGUAAAAUCAAGCUAUGCCAGAUUAAUUCAUGUAAACAGCAUCAGUUUAUGGCCUACGUGACCUCAGUCAUGUUUAUCUGUCUCACAGGUGGCUCGGUGACGUAAUCGAACGAUAAAUGUGUAGACAAUGUAUAUUUAACAAUACACAUAACACUGAUUAAAUUUAACUGCUUAAUCAUGGAGCAAAAGCAACCAACACAUCGAUUUUAUAGCGCUUCUUUUAAGUUAAAAGUUGUUGGUAUUGCCGAGCAAGUUGGUAAACACAAGGCAAGCAAAUUAUUUAAUGUUGACAGGAAACGCAUUCGAGAGUGGUGUAAGGCAAAAGAAACGUUGCAAGCAGCUGCCUGCAAGAGUCGUAAACGUGCACCUGGCGGGGGUAGACAAGUUUGAUACAGAGACAUUGACCAGCAGCUGUUGCUGUGGUUUAAUGAACGUCGGGGGAAAGGAGUGCGUGUUACUGGGAAGGCCCUAAGACAUGAAGCACUUAGAUUACACCAAUAGAACGGGUCACAGUCAUUUAAGGCAUCCUGCGGUUGGUUUAGGUGCUUUAAACGAUGUCAUAACUUUUCAUUUCGUCGCACUACCCACAUUGCCCAGAAAUCAGUUGAAAUUACUGAUGGACUUAUUGACAAAUUUCUACGUUUUGUUAUUCGUAUGCGCCAGUUAAGAAAUUAUAACUUGUCAGAAAUAGGCAAUAUGGAUGAAACGCCUGUUUAUCUUGAAAUGCAAAGCAACGUAUGACAUUCGUGGACAGAAUAAUAUAACUGUAAAAUCUACAGGACGUGAAAAAGAGAAAAUCACCGUCACUUUAGGCGCCUAUGCAGAUGGGACAAAACUUUCGCCACUGGUCCAUUUGCCUGGAGUACGACCUUUACCUAGUGGUGACAUUCCAUGUGGAAUUAUCGUGUACAUGUGCGGCAGCGGUAAAAAAUCUUGGGCAAAUGAAGAGAGCAUUUUAUUUUGGUUGAAAAAUUUCUGGGGCAGAAAUCAAACAAGCCGGCGCUUACUUGUUUGGGACGCAUUUUGCGCUCAUUUGACUGAUAAGGUCAAGGAUUAUUUACGUACACACUGCAACACUGACAUGAGUGUAAUACCAGGAGGCUGCACGUCACGUUUACAGCCGGCAGACGUUUCAUGGAACAAACCAUUUAAGGGAAAGUUUGCUGAAUUAUAUGACGAGUGGCUGUUUUCUGGGCCUGUGGACUUAAAUCCUGCCGGGAAUCGAAGGGCACCCCCAAGUCUCUGAUUCUCAAGUGGAUUAAAACUGCCUGGGAUACUGUUACCCCUGAAAUGAUUAGGAAAUCAUUUAAAAAGUGCGGGAUUUCUACAGAGUUGGAUGGAACUGAAGAUCAUCUCUUUAAUCACGCUUCUGAUGACGAAACUGUUGAAUCGGACUUUGAAGGGUUCGAUCCCGAUGAUGUGAACAUAAGUGAGCAGGUGCAGGAAAAUGUGGCUGCAGAACUGUCUGAAUCUGAUCAAAACAGUGAUUCAGAUGA